rnacentral:rRNA from 1 species
CCUACGGGCGGCAGCAGUGGGGAAUAUUGGACAAUGGGCGAAAGCCUGAUCUAGCAAUGCCGCGUGUGUGAAGGAGGUCUUCGGAUUGUACAGCACUUUCGACGGGGACGAUGACGACGGUACCCGUAGAAGAAGCCCCGGCUAACUUCGUGCCAGCAGCCGCGGUAAUACGAAGGGGGCUAGCGUUGCUCGGAAUGACUGGGCGUAAAGGGCGCGUAGGCGGUUUAUGCAGUCAGAUGUGAAAUCCCCGGGCUUAACCUGGGAACUGCAUUUGAGACGCAUAGACUAGAGGUCGAGAGAGGGUUGUGGAAUUCCCAGUGUAGAGGUGAUAUUCGUAGAUAUUGGGAAGAACACCGGUAGCGAAGGCGGCAACCUGGCUCGAUACUGACGCUGAGGCGCGAAAGCGUGGGGAGCAAACAGGAUU